UCAGUCCCUAGGACCUAAUAUACAGAGGUGCCUUUUUACACAUGGAUGGACCCCCCCCCUCCAUGACACCCAUCGUCUUCCUCACUAAACAACCCUAGAGAACCAGCAAUGACCUCCUCAUCUAACCAUCUUCUUCUACACCCCAUAACAUCAAACAACACCGACCCCGACUCCUUGCCCUGAAAUCUGCCACAUCCAGCCCUCUUUCACUAAAAUUCGUCGGAAGAUACGCAUACACGCAUAGAGAGUGACUGAACAGUUAGAAGAUUGAGUGAAAAAUAGAGUGCGAAGGGACAGAGGUGGAUUCGGAUCCGUUGUCGUUCACUAGUUGCCAUCGAGAUUCGGAGUUGUUGUUUCCAUUCGUGUCGAGCAAAUUCAGUCUGGUUUAGGUUCGAAUUCUAGUUGCCUUUUGUUCUAUUUUUGUUGCUGCUACGGUUGGUUGGGACGCGGCUGAGUCGAGGUUCAGGUUGCAGUUUGAGGUUUAAGUCCGUGACCCCUGUUUGAAUUUGCUGUUACACGGUUCAUGUUGGAGUUGUCUCUUUGUAUUGAAUCAAAUAUGGAAGAAGGUUCCGUCUGAAAUUCUAUUAAAGGUGUGGGUCUACUUACCGGAGUUUGAGCAUGACAGACACCUCGGGACCAUCCUGUCAGGAUCGCUCAGUCAGGAGUUGCUUAAGAAGAUGUUUUUUUUUUUAAAAUUUAUUUUUUAUGUUUUGAGUUUAUUUUUUUAUGUCGUCUUUUACCUUCUAGUUUUGUACAACAGUGUCGAGUUUCUUGUUAUUAUAUUUUCUAAUUUGUAUUUGAAAAAGAGUUUUAUAAAUCAAAAAUCCAAAAAACAAUAAAAAUGA